AUUGAACGCUGGCGGCAUGCCUUACACAUGCAAGUCGAACGGCAGCACGGGAGCAAUCCUGGUGGCGAGUGGCGAACGGGUGAGUAAUAUAUCGGAACGUGCCCAGUCGUGGGGGAUAACGCAGCGAAAGCUGUGCUAAUACCGCAUACGAUCUAUGGAUGAAAGCGGGGGAUCGCAAGACCUCGCGCGAUUGGAGCGGCCGAUAUCAGAUUAGCUAGUUGGUGGGGUAAAAGCCCACCAAGGCGACGAUCUGUAGCUGGUCUGAGAGGACGACCAGCCACACUGGAACUGAGACACGGUCCAGACUCCUACGGGAGGCAGCAGUGGGGAAUUUUGGACAAUGGGCGCAAGCCUGAUCCAGCAAUGCCGCGUGCAGGAUGAAGGCCUUCGGGUUGUAAACUGCUUUUGUACGGAGCGAAACGGCUUCCCCUAAUACGGAAAGCUAAUGACGGUACCGUAAGAAUAAGCACCGGCUAACUACGUGCCAGCAGCCGCGGUAAUACGUAGGGUGCGAGCGUUAAUCGGAAUUACUGGGCGUAAAGCGUGCGCAGGCGGUUAUAUAAGACAGAUGUGAAAUCCCCGGGCUCAACCUGGGACCUGCAUUUGUGACUGUAUAGCUAGAGUACGGUAGAGGGGGAUGGAAUUCCGCGUGUAGCAGUGAAAUGCGUAGAUAUGCGGAGGAACACCGAUGGCGAAGGCA
rnacentral:rRNA from 1 species